AUUGAACGCUGGCGGCAUGCCUUACACAUGCAAGUCGAACGGCAGCACGGGAGCAAUCCUGGUGGCGAGUGGCGAACGGGUGAGUAAAGUAUCGGAACGUGCCCAGUCGUGGGGGAUAACGUAGCGAAAGUUACGCUAAUACCGCAUACGACCUAUGGAUGAAAGCGGGGGAUCGCAAGACCUUGCGCGAUUGGAGCGGCCGAUAUCAGAUUAGGUAGUUGGUGGGGUAAAGGCUCACCAAGCCGACGAUCUGUAGCUGGGCUGAGAGGACGCCCAGCCAGACUGGGACUGAGACGCGGACCAGACUCCUACGGGAGGCAGCAGUGGGGAAUGUUGGACAAUGGGCGCAAGCCUGAGCCAGCCAUGCCGCGUGAAGGAUGAAGGCCUUCGGGUUGUAAACUGCUUUUGUACGGAACGAAAAGGUUUGACUUAAUACGUUGGACUCAUGACGGUACCGUAAGAAUAAGCACCGGCUAACUACGUGCCAGCAGCCGCGGUAA
rnacentral:rRNA from 1 species